rnacentral:rRNA from 1 species
AUGUGGCAGGAGAUGUCUUCCUCAAUGCCUGCCUCCAGUUCUUCCAGCAGGAACCGCCAGAGCACCCAGGAAAGGGUGUUGGCACAAACAACCCUUGAUGCUCAACUCAAUGCUGAGUUUGAAGAAUCUAGUGACUCCUUCGACUACUCCAAGCUGGUCGAAGCCCAGCGGGACACUCCAACCGUGCUGCAGGAAGGGCGGUCGGAGAAGGUCAUAGCCUACUUGCAGCACAUUCAGAGAGGGAAGAUGAUCCAGUCGUUUGGUUGCUUGUUGGCCCUUGAUGAGAAGAGCUUCAAUGUCAUUGCAUUCAGUGAGAACGCGCCAGAAAUGCUUACAACUGUCAGCCAUGCAGUGCCCAGUGUCGACGAUCCCCCGAGGCUCGACAUCGGCACCAAUGUACGGUCUCUGUUCACUGACCAAGGUGCCACGGCUCUGCACAAGGCGCUAGGGUUUGCUGAUGUUUCUUUGCUGAACCCUAUCCUGGUUCAGUGCAAGUCCUCAGGCAAGCCUUUCUAUGCCAUUGUUCACCGAGCAACCGGUUGUUUGGUGGUAGACUUUGAGCCUGUGAACCCCACAGAAUUUCCUGCCACUGCUGCUGGGGCCUUGCAGUCUUACAAGCUUGCUGCCAAGGCAAUCUCCAAGAUCCAGGCACUGCCAGGUGGAAGCAUGGAGCUGCUAUGCAAUACUGUGGUCAAGGAGGUCUUUGAACUUACAGGGUAUGAUAGGGUUAUGGCUUACAAGUUCCAUGAAGAUAAUCAUGGCGAGGUCUUUGCCGAGAUCACAAAGCCUGGCCUUGAGCCUUAUCUGGGCCUGCACUAUCCGGCCACUGAUAUCCCUCAAGCAGCCAGGUUUCUUUUCAUGAAGAACAAAGUGCGGAUGAUUUGUGAUGUCCGCGCAAGAUCCAUAAAGGUCAUCGAAGAUGAGGCACUCCCCUUUGAUAUUAGCUUGUGUGGUUCAGCACUCAGGGCGGCACACAGCUGUCACCUUCAGUAUAUGGAGAACAUGAACUCGAUUGCGUCCCUUGUCAUGGCUGUUGUGGUUAAUGAGAAUGAAGAGGAUGAUGAGGUCGGAUCUGAACAACCAGCACAGCAGCAGAAGAAGAAGAUACUGUGGGGCCUUGUUGUUUGCCACCAUGAGAGCCCCAGAUAUGUCCCUUUUCCGCUGCGCUAUGCUUGUGAGUUCUUAGCACAGGUGUUUGCUGUCCAUGUCAACAAGGAGUUUGAAGUACAGAAACAGUUACGCGAAAAAAGCAUCCUGAGGAUGCAAACAAUUCUCUCUGACAUGCUGUUCAAGGAAGCCUCUCCCCUGACUAUCGUAUCAGGGGCACCCAAUAUCAUGGACCUAAUCAAAUGUGAUGGUGCUGCUCUUUUGUAUGGGGGCAAAGUGUGGCGUCUGGGUAAUGCUCCAACCGAGUCACAGAUACGCGAUCUUGCCUUGUGGUUGUCGGAAGUUCACAUGGACUCCACUGGCCUGAGUACUGAGAGCCUCCAUGAUGCUGGCUACCCAGGAGCCUCUGCUCUUGGUGAUAUGGUUUGUGGGAUGGCAGUGGCUAAGAUCAAUUCCAAUGAUAUUCUUUUUUGGUUCAGGUCACAUACAGCUAAAGAAAUCAGAUGGGGAGGUGCAAAGAAUGAUCCAUCGGACCAGGAUGACAGCAGAAGGAUGCACCCUAGGUUGUCUUUCAAGGCAUUCCUUGAAGUUGUCAAGAUGAAGAGCUUGGCUUGGACUGAUUCUGAGAUGGAUGCUAUUCAUUCAUUGCAACUUAUACUUCGAGGGACAGUGGAUGGUGUCGUCAAGCCAACCGGAAAAGCUAGCUUAGAUGAACAGAUUGGUGAUCUAAAGCUUGAUGGGCUUGCUGAAUUGCAGGCAGUGACCAGUGAAAUGGUUCGUCUAAUGGAAACAGCAACUGUUCCAAUCUUGGCGGUAGAUGGCAAUGGAUUGGUCAACGGGUGGAACCAGAAAGCGGCAGAAUUGACUGGGCUAAGGGUUGAUGAUGCCAUAGGAAGGCACAUACUUACCCUUGUGGAGGAAUCUUCUGUAUCAGUUGUCCAGAGGAUGCUAUAUCUAGCUUUGCAGGGCAAAGAAGAGAAAGAAGUUCGAUUUGAGGUAAAGACUCAUGGCCCAAAGAGAGAUGAUGGCCCUGUUAUCUUGGUUGUGAAUGCUUGUGCCAGCCGGGACCUUCAUGAUGAUGUUGUUGGGGUGUGCUUUGUAGCCCAAGAUAUGACUGUCCAUAAGUUGGUGAUGGACAAGUUUACUCGGGUUGAGGGAGACUACAAGGCGAUCAUUCACAACCCGAACCCACUUAUUCCUCCUAUAUUUGGUGCUGAUGAAUUUGGAUGGUGUUGUGAGUGGAAUGCUGCAAUGACCAAGCUGACUGGGUGGCACAAAGAAGAAGUGCUCGAUAAGAUGCUUCUCGGUGAAGUGUUCGACAGUAGAAAUGCUUCCUGCCUUUUGAAGAACAAAGAUGCAUUUGUAAGCCUUUGUGCUGUUAUCAACAGCGCGUUAGCCGGCAAAGAAACGGAAAAGGCUCCAUUUGGCUUCUUCGACCGAAGCGGGAAGUACACUGAGUGCCUUCUGUCAGUGAACAGAAGGCAAAAUGAGGAUGGUCUCAUCACUGGAGUAUUCUGUUUUAUUCAUAUUCCUAGUCAUGAGCUGCAACAAGCACUGCAGGUGCAGCAAGCCUCCGAGCAGGCGUCACUAAAAAGGCUGAAAGCUUUCUCCUACAUGAGACAUGCAAUCAACAACCCUCUCUCAGGCAUGCUUUACUCCAGAAAAGCACUAAAGAACACAGAUUUGAAUGAAGAACAGAUGAGGCAGAUCCAUGUCUCAGAUAAUUGUCACCACCAGCUAAACAAGAUACUUGCCGACUUGGAUCAAGAUAGCAUCAUGGAAAAAUCUAGUUGCUUGGAUUUGGAGAUGGCUGAAUUUGUGUUGCAAGAUGUGGUGGUGGCUGCUGUAAGCCAAGUACUGAUAGCCUGCGAGGGAAAAGGCAUCAGAGUCUCUUGCAACCUGCCAGAGAGAUUUAUGAAGAAACUGAUCUAUGGAGAUGGUGUUCGACUCCAGCAGAUCCUUUCUGACUUCCUAUCUAUUUCUGUGAAGUUCUCUCCUGUUGGAGGUUCCAUCGAGAUCUCAGCCAAGGCGACGAAGAACAGCAUCGGAGAGAAUCUUCACCUUAUUGACCUUGACCUUAGGAUCAAGCACCAUGGGUUAGGAGUCCCGGCAGAGCUAAUGGCGCAAAUGUUUGAGGAGGACGACAUGCAGCAGUCAGAGGAGGGCUUGGGCCUCCUGGUCUCUAGAAACCUGUUGAGGCUCAUGAACGGCGAUGUUCGUCACCUAAGGGAAGCUGGUAUGUCAAUCUUCAUCCUCACCGCCGAACUUGCUUGUGGUCCAACGGCAAUGGAGCACUGA